AAUGUGGUUUCUGGAUGAAAAACUGAGAACAGACUGACCCUCUGGCCACAGCUAUUCACGUCAGAGACCUGCUGUUGCAGGUGCAUGCUGUUUGGUUCGGUUUGCCAAGUCAAAAUAGCAGUGCUUCCCAAUGUGAGACAUCUGUAUAUUCCAGCAGUGCAAGAUGCCCCACGAGUCAUUAAAUAGAAGAAAUUCUGAUUCUUUUGGUGCUGUGGAUAAAACAUUGAAGCUCCACCCUACUCCUCCUCCAAGUGAAUAAACACUUCAUCAGAAUGUUUCACACUGGAAAUAUUAACACCAAAUUAAUGAAAUUCAGUGCCAUCAGGAAGCUACAACAUUGACUUCUCGUGCCCUGUGCGGCAAGUACAGUUCUCUUUACUAGAGUUCCUUGCCAAAUCUUGCUCUAACUAGCCAUGGGAUCUGUCUCACCUGCUGGAACUUCAGUUUCCUCAUCUGUAGAAUGGUGGAAACAGCACUAUAUUCCCUUGGCCAUGAGGACUGCAUCCAAAUAUACUACCACACAUAAAAUACGUAGCUUCAAGAUGUCUUGAAGGAGCAGCCUCUGUUCCGUCUGGGUUGGCCAAAUCAGAAAUAUUUGAAGACUGAAGGAAUCUUUAAAGGAAUCUUUAAUCCAAUGUCAGACGGCACCACAGUUGCCAAAGUACUAACUGGCCACACAUUUGGGGGCAGCUUUUCACCUCUAGUUUCUCUAAAAUGAUUAGGAAUUAGAGAAAUAUCCCAUCCAAAGCCAUGACUAACAAUAAUGUUCUCUAAGGUUGCAGUCAAGCAUAGAUGUUUAACAACACACACUUAGGGAUGAGUUAAGACUUAGAGGGAUUUGCAUAAAUUAGAGGAACCACAUAAAAAUUUACAAAAUAAAUUUGACAAUUUAUAAAAUCUUGUUUUCAGGGGCAAAUCUUGGGGUUUGCUUAGGGGUAGAAUCACAUUUUGUAUGCUCUUCGUACCAUUUCAAAAAAAUAUUUCUCUCUUCCUGCUAAAAGGUUUGCAUGGUCUAGCAGCUGCUGUCUUGGUGAGGCUCCUAGUGAGUAGCAGAUCAAGUCUGGUUAGGAGAAGAAAAGUGACCAUGACACUUGCCGUGUGACCUCAGAUAAGUCAUUUGCCCUCUGGGCCUCUGUUCUGUGUUCGUAAAUAAGGAGGCUAGAUGAGACCAGGAGUUGGCAAACUACAGUCUGUGGGCAAAUAUGCCUGCUGCUUGUUUCUGUGUGAUCUGAAAAAAGGCUUUUUCAUUUCUAAGUCAUUGAUAAAAGAUCAAAAGAAGAAGACAUUGUGACAUGUGAAAAUUAUAAGAAAUUCAAAUUUCAGUGCCAUAAAUAAAGUUUCAUUGGAACACA
rnacentral:lncRNA from 1 species